GAAACUCACCCGGCCCGGACACCGUAAGGAUUGACAGAUUGAAAGCUCUUUCUUGAUUCGGUGGGUGGUGGUGCAUGGCCGUUCUUAGUUGGUGGAUCGAUUUGUCUGGUUAAUUCCGAUAACGAACGAGACUCUAGCCUACUAAACUAGACAAUUGAUUUGGUUUGUCGAUUGAACUUCUUAGAGGGACUGAGGUCAUUUAGACCUACGAGAUUGAGCAAUAA
rnacentral:rRNA from 1 species